UACAAGGACGCUGGUGAUGACACUGAACCCACCAGGAUAAUCCAGGAUAAUCUCCCGUCUCAAGAUCCUCGACCUGAUCACAUCUGCAGAGUCCUUUCUGCCAUACUUCCUACCUAAACACAGAUCUCCAGAGACAGAGGAGUGGAAGAAGAGGCAAUAAAUCAUCCACAUUUGGGCAGGAUCAUCUUGCAAAUAACGACAUACCACUCAACCGAGAGGCUAAGUCUGUCAGUUGAGGCUGUGAAAUCCACCGCAGAAUGUCUUAAUUGAAAGAAAAAAAAUAAACACUUUCAGGAAACGAGCCCCGCGCUGACAGGAAACAGGACUGUUCCAUGUGUUGGACAAACGUCCCUUCUGAAGAAAAGUGCUGGUCCUUCCACUACUGACACAUCUAUGCAGGCUGACUUAAACCAAUAGCUGAGCUUCUGGGGAAAAGUGGGGACACUGUCUUCCGAAGGCCCCUGCCACGUAAAGGAUUUUCUGCUGUGAGUGUGUGCUAUUCUU